rnacentral:lncRNA from 1 species
CUCUUCUGUGGAUGCCCUGUCCUCCAGAAGCUCACAGACCAGAGCUCGGCCCAUCUGCCGGUCGCGGUUAGAGAGCCAUCCUGCAGGAGAUGAGAUUCGUCCAGAGAAGUUUGGCUCCAAACUCAAGCACAAAAGAGACAUUGGGCUGCUACAGGUGCCUUGAUCACUCGCUAGGUAAAGAACUGGAUCCUGGCUGGGUCUGCAUUUUGGAAUGUCUCUCUGACUGCAGCAUGGCAGAGAGCUGAGGGUGCAGAAAAGGGUUGAGGAGAAGCAGGAAGAGACUGUUGCAAACAUGCGGUCAAAUCAUCUGCUGGAUCAGGGAAGCUGAAAGGUGGAAGGGAAGGUGUCAGAGAGUAAGAGGUGAUGGAGCUGAGGUGAGACUGGAGCGGCCCUGUCUCAGGUCUGCCUGAGUGGAUGCCACUUACAGAACUUGGGUCUCAGCGGGGGAAGAUGACGAGAAGGUGCCUGUGGCAUGGCGUGUGAGGGAUAUGGCUGAAGGUGCUCAUUUGAGGUGCAUUACAGAAAGCAUCAGGGCUCUGCACUCUACAUGCCCACCAGCCAUGGUUGGAGGUAGUGGGACCCUCCAGCCACCUUUCAUCCACUUCCAUAUUGACC